ensembl:lncRNA
GUCAGGUGAGGUUACUGCUCCCACCUUCCACCUGAGGAAGAUGCUGAUUUUUCAAUCAGGUCUGUUCAAUCAUGUGAUUUUACACAGCGCUUUUCUUCAUCUGUUUGUCAAUGGAGAAAUGAUAAACUGAGAGCCGAAGCUGAAAUUGUGCACGUUAGUCAUUUCUAUUCAUUCAUUCAACAGUAAUUUGUUCUAGAGAUAUAAAAAUGACUCAGACAUAAUUCUGUUAUCCUCACAGAAGUUAUGGUUUACCAGCAGGAGAUGAACAGAAAAUUGCAGUAAAGCAUUGAAGGCACUGCGGAUGAUGCUGCCAGGGGAGAGGAAGUCCAUCUGUGUCUGCUGUGCUGCACUGCUUGAUAAUAUGGCUUAGAUAAUAGAAAUCCAUUACAUCGCUCAAAGGAAGUAAAAAAACUGCUCUCCAAGGAGUAGAGGGAAGCCAAGUAGGAAUUCAAUCUCUGAGCAAGAAUCAGCAUGUGUUUUUUUCCCCGAGAAAGAAGGAAGAAGAUAAAUAAAAGGUAGAAAACUAGACCACACAAUUGUAGUUUCGUGCUGCUGCAUAAAACGAAACCCAUAUGGUAGAAGAAAGGCUGUCAACAAUCCUGUGGAGUAGAUGGAUUUUGUUCUUUCAAGUGAAAAAAGAACCUGUAUCUUUAUUCCUAAAAUAUCUUGAAGUUGGAGUAAGCAAGGUUUAUUUUCACCCUCAAUAUUUUCUAUUUAAGACUAUUUCUAACAAUCACUAGAAAUCAGCAGGACACUCUUAAAGAAAUUAGCAUUAAAAUGCAAAAACUGUGUCAUCCACUUCACAGGAAACACUGAAUUUUUUAAGCUUGUGGUAUCCAGGAAUCAUAAGCAGAUGGAUGUCGAGGAGGAUACUAAGACUAGAGACCACAUUCUCAACCCUCUCCCUUCCUAAGCUGAGCUUCCUGAUCUCAGAAGAUGCAGUUGAUGGGGGAAGCCUUCUUCCGGGAUGCUCUGUGGUCCCUAUUAAUCAGCCACAGGCUAGGAGAGGUUUUAACUCCUUGACACUCAGGGCUCCUUGGAUGUUGUCUGACUUGUGCCUGGGGAAUCUUGUGGUCAAGAGAGAAGGCUCCUUUGGAGGUUAAGCAAAGGAAGAUUGCUGCUUUCCCAGAGCGUUUCAGUAAAGGAUGGGCAAUGGAACUCCAGUAGAGAGAGUUCCAUGGAGUAGAACCCUGGAACCCUGAGGACUGACAGUUGCAGGUCCCUCCCUCUGGUUGUGCUAUGUGGGACGCCGCCUCAGCAUGGCCUGACAAGUGGUACCAUGUCUGCACCCAUGAUCCAAACCAGUGAAACCCUGGGCAGCCAAAGUGGAGUGCAUGAACUUAACCACUCAGCCACAGGGCCAGCCCCUUCCAGUGUAUUUUUCAUUUCAUAUAUUUUUUCCCAUAUCUAGAAAUGACCUUUGGGUCUAUUUUAUAGCUUUCAUUUCUCUUCUUAUUAUGCUUAUGUUUUCCUUUACCUUUUUGAAAACAUGGAUCAUAUUUAUAAUAGCUCUUUUAAUGUCCUUCUCUGCUAGUUCCACAAUUACCAUAAUUUCGGGACAUAUUUCUAUUGAUUGAUCCCCACCAUUUAUUGGCCAUAUUAUCCUAACUUGUAAUCAUUUUUUUUAAUUGAAUGCUGGUCAUUGUGAGUUUUAAAGUAUUGAUUGCUGUAUUUUAUUGUAUUCCUUUAGAGAUGGUGUUGGUUUUUUUCCUGGCUUAAGUUUAAGUUAAUAGAAUCAGUUAGAUCCUCUCAAGGUGUUUAAGUUUGGUUAAGAUAAGUCCAGGGAAGGCUUUAGUCCAGGGCCAAUUGAGCCUCAUUGCUAAAGCCGUAUCAUUUAGGAUUAUACCCAAUGUUUGGUCCUGUGUGGGCUCUAAGAAAUGUUCUGCCUACUCCUUUUCAGUGAUUCUUUCUCUGGCUUCAGAUAGUUUCUUCCUAUGCAUACACAGAUCAGACAAAGACUUGGGGAGACCUCUCUGCAGAUCUCCGGGUAUCUUUCUCUGUAGUUCCCGCCUCUCUCUUUCAUUGCCCACAAAUUCUAGCUGUUCUGAGUUCUCUGAACUCUGAUCUCUGUCUCCUCAACUCAGCAAGGUUUCUGGGCUCUGUAUGAGUUCCUUCUUUUUGUUCUGUGUCCUGUAAACUGACUCUAGGCAGUAAAUUGAUGCAGUUGUAGGGCUAACCUUGUUUGUUUCCCUUUUCUCAGGGAUCAUUGUCCUGUGCUGCCUGUUUCACAUGUCUGAAAACUGUUUCUCAUAUAUUCUGUCCAUUUCCUUGUUGUCCUAGAUGGGAACAUAUAUUGGCCCUGACCUUUCACCUUGGCCAGAGCAAAAGAUCUUUAUUCAUUCUUAAAGUUACUGUGGACAAUAAAGAUUCUGAUAUGUUUACUUUACUGACUCAGUUUUAGCCCCAAGUUUUCUUUCUUUUUUGGGGGGGGGGGGGAAGAUUAGCCCUGAGCUAACAUCUGCCACCAAUCCUCCUCUUUCUGCUGAAGAAGAGUGGCCCUGAACUAACAUCUGUGCUCAUCUUCCUCUAUUUUAUAUGUGGGAUGCCUGCCACAGCAUGGCUUGGUAAGUGGUGCAUAGGUCCACAGCCAGGAUCUGACCUGGUGAACCCUGUGCCACCGAAACGUUGUGCGCAAACUUAACUGCUAUGCCACUAGGCCAGCCCCCCCAACUUUUAUUUCAAGCCACACCUACCAACUACCCAGUCAGAAAUUGCUGCUGCUCUUUAUGUAAAUUUCCAGAAAUUCCUUGAUGCUUUGUUACAACUGAAGGAUACAGGAGUUGUCUCCAAGCAAAUUAAGUAUUACCCUGAACCAGAAACAAUCAAAGCUGCCUAUAAAGACUGUUGUGUGACAAUUACAAUGUUCCACUUGUUUUUUUCUGUUAGCCCAAAGAAGAGGCUGUGGAUACCAGUAGAUUUCCCUUUCAGAAAUCUACUAACUGCCAGCCUUAUCUAGGAGCCUCUCAAGAAAC